rnacentral:rRNA from 1 species
UGGGGAAUCUUCCGCAAUGGACGAAAGUCUGACGGAGCAACGCCGCGUGAGUGAUGACGGUCUUCGGAUUGUAAAGCUCUGUUAAUCGGGACGAAUGGUUUGUGUGCAAAUAGUGCAUAGACAUGACGGUACCUGAAAAACAAGCCACGGCUAACUACGUGCCAGCAGCCGCGGUAAUACGUAGGUGGCGAGCGUUAUCCGGAUUUACUGGGUGUAAAGGGCGUGCAGGCGGGCUGAUAAGUCAGAUGUGAAAUCCCCGAGCUUAACUCGGGAACUGCAUCUGAUACUGUUGGUCUUGAGUGCUGGAGAGGAUAGUGGAAUUCCUAGUGUAGCGGUAAAAUGCGCAGAUAUUAGGAGGAACACCAGUGGCGAAGGCGGCUAUCUGGACAGUAACUGACGCUGAGGCGCGAAAGCGUGGGUAGCAAACAGG